CAGUCGAACGGUAACAUUUCUAGCUUGCUAGAAGAUGACGAGUGGCGGACGGGUGAGUAAUGCUUGGGAACUUGCCUUUGCGAGGGGGAUAACAGUUGGAAACGACUGCUAAUACCGCAUAAUGUCUUCGGACCAAACGGGGCUUCGGCUCCGGCGCAAAGAGAGGCCCAAGUGAGAUUAGCUAGUUGGUAAGGUAACGGCUUACCAAGGCGACGAUCUCUAGCUGUUCUGAGAGGAAGAUCAGCCACACUGGGACUGAGACACGGCCCAGACUCCUACGGGAGGCAGCAGUGGGGAAUAUUGCACAAUGGGGGAAACCCUGAUGCAGCCAUGCCGCGUGUGUGAAGAAGGCCUUCGGGUUGUAAAGCACUUUCAGUUGUGAGGAAAAGUAGUAGUUAAUACCUGCUAGCCGUGACGUUAACAACAGAAGAAGCACCGGCUAACUCCGUGCCAGCAGCCGCGGUAAUACGGAGGGUGCGAGCGUUAAUCGGAAUUACUGGGCGUAAAGCGCACGCAGGCGGUUUGUUAAGCUAGAUGUGAAAGCCCCGGGCUCAACCUGGGAUGGUCAUUUAGAACUGGCAGACUAGAGUCUUGGAGAGGGGAGUGGAAUUCCAGGUGUAGCGGUGAAAUGCGUAGAUAUCUGGAGGAACAUCAGUGGCGAAGGCGACUCCCUGGCCAAAGACUGACGCUCAUGUGCGAAAGUGUGGGUAGCGAACAGGAUUAGAUACCCUGGUAGUCCACACCGUAAACGCUGUCUACUAGCUGUGUGUGUCUUUAAGACGUGCGUAGCGAAGCUAACGCGCUAAGUAGACCGCCCUGGGGAGUACGGCCGCAAGGUUAAAACUCAAAUGAAAUAGACGGGGCCCGCACAAGCGGUGGGA
rnacentral:rRNA from 1 species